rnacentral:pre_miRNA from 1 species
AAACAGCCCCCUAUGUUUUGAUUCUUUGGCAGUUUUGGACUCUCAAGGCAAAAAAAAAAAAAAAAAAAAAAAUUGACAUGUGGCACCUCACUUAGGGUGCCACGUCAGCGUUGACCGGGUCAACAAUGGACUGGGGGUCCAAAACUGCCAAAGAAUCAAAACAUAGGGAGCUGUUU